AUGCAGCAACGCCGCGUGAGGGACGACGGCCUUCGGGUUGUAAACCUCUUUUAGUAGGGAAGAAGCGAAAGUGACGGUACCUGCAGAAAAAGCACCGGCUAACUACGUGCCAGCAGCCGCGGUAAUACGUAGGGUGCAAGCGUUGUCCGGAAUUAUUGGGCGUAAAGAGCUCGUAGGCGGUUUGUCGCGUCUGCUGUGAAAACCCGAGGCUCAACCUCGGGCCUGCAGUGGGUACGGGCAGACUAGAGUGCGGUAGGGGAGAUUGGAAUUCCUGGUGUAGCGGUGGAAUGCGCAGAUAUCAGGAGGAACACCAAUGGCGAAGGCAGAUCUCUGGGCCGUAACUGACGCUGAGGAGCGAAAGCAUGGGGAGCGAACAGGAUUAGAUACCCUGGUAGUCCAUGCCGUAAACGUUGGGAACUAGAUGUGGGGACCAUUCCACGGUCUCCGUGUCGCAGCUAACGCAUUAAGUUCCCCGCCUGGGGAGUACGGCCGCAAGGCUAAAACUCAAAGGAAUUGACGGGGGCCCGCACAAGCGGCGGAGCAUGCGGAUUAAUUCGAUGCAACGCGAAGAACCUUACCAAGGCUUGACAUAUAGAGGAAACGGCUGGAAACAGUCGCCCCGCAAGGUCUCUAUACAGGUGGUGCAUGGUUGUCGUCAGCUCGUGUCGUGAGAUGUUGGGUUAAGUCCGCAACGAGCGCAACCCUCGUNCUAUGUUGCCAGCACGUAAUGGUGGGAACUCAUGGGAUACUGCCGGGGUCAACUCGGAGGAAGGUGGGGAUGACGUCAAAUCAUCAUGCCCCUUAUGUCUUGGGCUUCACGCAUGCUACAAUGGCCGGUACAAAGGGCUGCAAUACCGCAAGGUGGAGCGAAUCCCAAAAAGCCGGUCUCAGUUCGGAUUGAGGUCUGCAACUCGACCUCAUGAAGUCG
rnacentral:rRNA from 1 species